rnacentral:rRNA from 1 species
UACGUAGGGUGCGAGCGUUGUCCGGAUUUAUUGGGCGUAAAGAGCUCGUAGGCGGUUUGUCGCGUCGGCCGUGAAAUCUCCACGCUUAACGUGGAGCGUGCGGUCGAUACGGGCAGACUUGAGUUCGGUAGGGGAGACUGGAAUUCCUGGUGUAGCGGUGAAAUGCGCAGAUAUCAGGAGGAACACCGGUGGCGAAGGCGGGACUCUGGGCCGAUACUGACGCUGAGGAGCGAAAGCCGUGGGGAGCAAACAGG